GUCCGAGACUGAGCUGAAAGAACAAAUUUGCACACACACACAUUAAGUCCCAUUUCUUCGUUCUAUAUACAGAGGAAACGAAGAUGAUGUCCAGCAAUUACACCGCAAUUGAUAGUCAGAAUGUUUCAGGAUCUGUUCCUGCAGCUGCAGGUCCACCUGGUCAAGUUGCCGUCAAAUUCACUGAGUCGAAUUUGCAGACAUUUCCACCUUCCAGUUCCCAGGGGAAAAUCUCUGGCGCUUCUGGACCUCCACGUGAUGCUGACGAUUCAUUCUCUAAGCCAGUAUCUGGUUCUGAUGAGCCCCAGCAGAGUGGUUGGUUUCGCGCUUUCACUAUUGCUGCUUAUAAGCCCUAUUUUGAUGUUGAUACCUCUGAUGUUCUAGAGAGGAUAAAAGAUUCUCUCCUUCCUUUCACUGGGUCCUUUUCUGAGAAGACUGCCGAUAGGCCAGAUUUGUAUGGCCCGUUCUGGAUAUGCAGUACCUUGGUUUUUGUUGCGGCUUCCAUUGGUACAUUUAUUACCUAUAUAGCACACAAGCUACAGAACAAGGAGUGGAACUAUGACAUCAACCUUAUCACUUGGUCCGCGGGUUUAUUCUAUGGUUAUUCCACUAUAGUUCCUCUUUGCUUGUUUCUAGUCCUCAAGUACUUCUCUGCCCCAUCUGGCCUCGUUCAGUUGCUGUGCCUUUAUGGCUAUUCCCUUUUUGUCUUCAUUCCAGCAUUGUGUCUGUCUCUUGUUCCCUGGGAGAUAGUGAGAUGGGUGGUUGCUGGUGUAGCUGGCUUCAUGUCUGCCACAUUUGUUGCUCUUAA
rnacentral:misc_RNA from 1 species